rnacentral:rRNA from 1 species
UCCGUAGGUGAACCUGCGGAAGGAUCAUUAUUGAAUAAACUUGGCUUGCUGUCGCUGGCUUCUCCGGAGGCAUGUGCACGCUGGUCAUCUUUAUCUCUCCACCUGUGCACCUCUUGUAGAACUGGGAAAGCAACUUGUGUCCGAGGCAACUCGGAUUUUUGGGACUGCUGUGCGUCUUAGCUUAUGCCGGCUUUCCUUGCGCUUUUUCCAGGGCUACGUUUUUUCACAUACACCAUGAAAUGUAACAGAAUGUAUCACUAGGUCUUUGUACCUAUAAACUUUAUACAACUUUCAGCAACGGAUCUCUUGGCUCUCGCAUCGAUGAAGAACGCAGCGAAAUGCGAUAAGUAAUGUGAAUUGCAGAAUUCAGUGAAUCAUCGAAUCUUUGAACGCAUCUUGCGCUCCUUGGUAUUCCGAGGAGCAUGCCUGUUUGAGUGUCAUUAAAUUCUCAACCUUACUAGCUUUUGCGAAGUAAGGCUUGGAUGUGGGGGUUACCUUUUGCUGGCUUCUAACGAGGUCGGCUCCCCUGAAAUGGCAUUAGCGGGGUGGCCCUUGGUGGGGACCCCGGACUAUCAGUGGUGGAUAAUUAUCUACGGCUGUUAGGGGCGGCCCACGGCUUAGGUGGCUGGCUCUAACCGUCCGGGUUUCUGGACAACACAAAUGACAU